UACGUAGGGCGCAAGCGUUGUCCGGAAUUAUUGGGCGUAAAGAGCUCGUAGGCGGCUUGUCACGUCGAUUGUGAAAGCCCGAGGCUUAACCUCGGGUCUGCAGUCGAUACGGGCUAGCUAGAGUGUGGUAGGGGGAGAUCGGAAUUCCUGGUGUAGCGGUGAAAAUGCGCAGAUAUCAGGAGGAACACCGGUGGCGAAGGCGGAUCUCUGGGCCAUUACUGACGCUGAGGAGCGAAAGCGUGGGGAGCGAACAGG
rnacentral:rRNA from 1 species